GAUGAACGCUAGCGGCAGGCCUAAUACAUGCAAGUCAAGGGGGCAGCAAUGUCACCGGCGGACGGGUGCGUAACGCGUACACAACAUACCUUUAAGCGGGGCAUAGCAUCGGGAAACUGGUGGUAAUACCCCAUAACAUUGCGAGGUGGCAUUACUUUGCAAUUAAAGUUACGGCGCUUAGAGAUUGGUGUGCGUCUGAUUAGCUAGUUGGCGGGGUAAAGGCCCACCAAGGCGACGAUCAGUAGGGGGUGUGAGAGCAUGACCCCCCACAUGGGUACUGAGACACGGACCCAACUCCUACGGGAGGCAGCAGUAAGGAAUAUUGGACAAUGGGCGGAAGCCUGAUCCAGCCAUGCCGCGUGAAGGAUGAAGGCGCUCAGCGUUGUAAACUUCUUUUGGAUGGGGACAAACCACUCGAUUCAUCGGGUGCUGAGGGUACCAUCAGAAUAAGCACCGGCUAACUCCGUG
rnacentral:rRNA from 1 species